GGGGCAGCAUAUACUGCAGUCGAGCGAACCACUUCGGUGGGAAGCGGCGAACGGGUGAGUAACACGUAGGUGAUCUGCCCAUCAGACGGGGACAACGAUUGGAAACGAUCGCUAAUACCGGAUAGGACGAAAGUUUAAAGAUGCUCCUGGCAUCACUGAUGGAUGAGCCUGCGGCGCAUUAGCUAGUUGGUGGGGUAAAGGCCUACCAAGGCGACGAUGCGUAGCCGACCUGAGAGGGUGAACGGCCACACUGGGACUGAGGCACGGCCCAGACUCCUACGGGAGGCAGCAGUAGGGAAUCUUCGGCAAUGGGCGAAAGCCUGACCGAGCAACGCCGCGUGAAUGAAGAAGGCCUUCGGGUUGUAAAAUUCUGUUAUAAGGGAAGAAAGGUGAUAGGAGGAAAUGACUAUCAAUUGACGGUACCUUAUGAGAAAGCCACGGCUAACUACGUGCCAGCAGCCGCGGUAAUACGUAGGUGGCAAGCGUUAUCCGGAAUUAUUGGGCGUAAAGAGCGCGCAGGUGGUUAAUUAAGUCUGAUGUGAAAGCCCACGGCUUAACCGUGGAGGGUCAUUGGAAACUGGUUGACUUGAGUGCAGAAGAGGGAAGUGGAAUUCCAUGUGUAGCGGUGAAAUGCGUAGAGAUAUGGAGGAACACCGGUGGCGAAGGCGGCUUCCUGGUCUGCAACUGACACUGAGGCGCGAAAGCGUGGGGAGCAAACAGGAUUAGAUACCCUGGUAGUCCACGCCGUAA
rnacentral:rRNA from 1 species